GGAAAACUUACCAGGUCCAGACAUAGUGAGGAUUGACAGAUUGAGAGCUCUUUCUUGAUUCUAUGGGAGGUGGUGCAUGACCGUUCUUAGUUGGUGGAGUGAUUUGUCUGGUUAAUUCCGUUAACGAACGAGACCCCCGCCUGCUAAAUAGGUCCGUGAAUGAAUUUCAUUGACGAGAUCUUCUUAGAGGGACUUUUGGUGACUAACCAAAGGAAGUUGGGGGCAAUAA
rnacentral:rRNA from 1 species